rnacentral:misc_RNA from 1 species
UCGCGGCUUAUCACCGGCAGUUCCCCUAGAGUGCCCAACCAAAUGAUGGCAACUAGGGGCGAGGGUUGCGCUCGUUGCGGGACUUAACCCAACAUCUCACGACACGAGCUGACGACAGCCAUGCAGCACCUGUGCACGACCCUUACGGACCCCCCAUCUCUGGGAGAUUUCCGUGCAUGUCAAGCCUAGGUAAGGUUCUUCGCGUUGCAUCGAAUUAAGCAACAUGCUCCGCCGCUUGUGCGGGCCCCCGUCAAUUCCUUUGAGUUUCAGCCUUGCGGCCGUACUCCCCAGGCGGGGCACUUAAUGCGUUAGCGACGGCACCCAGGGGGUCGCUCCCCCAGGCACCUAGUGCCCAUCGUUUACGGCGUGGACUAC